AGUCAGUGUCCUUAAAGCGGGUGUGUCAGGCUCACAGUGGAUACGGUGCCCAUUUGCCCAGUCAGUGCCACCACUCACUCAUAUCUGGUGUCACAAUAGCUUGCAUUUAAAAACAAAAAACUUUUUUCACUGUUAUAGAUUGAAUCGCAGUCAGUGUCCUUAAAGCAGGUGUGUUAAGCUCACAGUGGAUACGGUGCCCAUUUGCCCAGUCAGUGCCACGACUCAUAUCUGGUGUCACAAUAGCUUGCAUUUAAAAACAAAAAACUUUUUUCACUGUU